UACGUAGAGUCCUAGCGUUACUCGGAAUUACUGGGCGUAAAGAAUGCGUAGGUGGCUUUGUAAGUUAAUGGUGAAAUCCCAGGGCUCAACCCUGGAGCUGCUAUUAAUACUGCAUCGCUAGAGUAUGGUAGGAGGCAAUGGAAUUCCUAGUGUAGGGGUUAAAUCCGUAGAUAUUAGGAGGAACGCCGGAAGCGAAAGCGUUUGCCUAGGCCAUUACUGACACUGAGGCAUGACAGCGUGGGGAGCAAACAGG
rnacentral:rRNA from 1 species